GCCUCUCAGGACUGCACUCAUUCAAUGCUGGAGGAAUUAUUUAUCGCGAGAAUGUUAUUACUCUUUUGUGCUUGAUGGACGGCGGGCUGUUGGUUCUGCAUCGCCAGACACUUUCUGCGGCUUUAUAAUCUGGGAAGAUGAAAGUUAACAGCUUCACGAGGGACCGUAACACACCACAACACAUCACACUUCAGUUUACUUGCAGUUCGGGCGGUUGGUGUAUCCAGAGUUAGUACAGGAGAGAACCGGUGUGCGGAAAACCUGUGAUGUUUGGGAGUGAGGGUCACACUGAUAAGCCCCUUCUCACGCGUGCUGGGUCAAGUAGUGAAGCAGGAUUCGAACCAUUGAGAUAUUGGUAUUAACAGAAAAUACUACUCCAGGGAGGAUGAGGACCAUAACUUGGUGUACAGAUG